rnacentral:rRNA from 1 species
CCUACGGGCGGCUGCAGUGAGGAAUAUUGGUCAAUGGGCGCGAGCCUGAACCAGCCAAGUAGCGUGAAGGAUGACUGCCCUACGGGCUGUAAACUUCUUUUAUAAAGGAAUACAGUGAGGCACGUGUGCCUCUUUGUAUGUACUUUAUGUAUAAGGAUCGGCUAACUCCGUGCCAGCAGCGGCGAUAAUACGGAGGAUCCGAUCGUUAUCCGGAUCUGUUGGGAUUAACGGGAGCGUAGAUGGGUUGUUAAGUCAGUUGUGAAAGUUUGCGGCUCAACGGGAGAAUUGCAAUUGAUACUGGCAGUCUUGAGUACAGGUGAGGUAAGCGGAAUUCGAGGUGUAGCAGUGAAAUGCGUAGAUAUCACGAAGAACUCCGAUGGCGAAGGCAGCUAACUAGA